rnacentral:rRNA from 1 species
UACAGAGGGUGCAAGCGUUAAUCGGAAUUACUGGGCGUAAAGCGUGCGCAGACGGUUUCGUAAGUCGGGUGUGAAAUCCCCGGGCUCAACCUGGGAAUUGCAUUCGAAACUGCGAGGCUAGGGUACGGAAGAGGGAAGCGGAAUUUCUGGUGUAGCGGUGAAAUGCGUAGAUAUCAGAAGGAACAUCGGUGGCGAAAGCGGCUUCCUGGUCCAGUACCGACGUUCAGGCACGAAAGCGUGGGGAGCAAACAGG